ensembl:lncRNA
GUUUUAAAAAAGAGUGACUUAGGAGUGCUCUCGUACUGAGUGAUCAACACUAGUGAUCACUGUUGGAAGAAAUAAAAUGAUUUAAUGAGUUGGGAAUGUUUAAACAUAUGUUUCUGUUGUUACAGCUUCUUGAGAGAUGAUUCAGUAUGCAAAUUAGCUGGAGUGUGUGGUGACGAAAGAACUUCCUGAGUGUGUGUGUGACUGUGACUUUCAGGAAGAGGAAGCAUAGCAGAGACGAGAAGUGCAGAUUGGGGUAGGAAAUUUAUAGUUUAGUGAUUAUAUGAUGUCGUAAGGGGGUUUUAUGCUGAAUUGAAGUAUGUUAUAGAGCAUAAGGGGGUGAUUUUUGUGUGCAAAUUGAGUGGUUUUAAUGAGACUUUUGGUGUAUUGAGGAGGUGAAAUUAUGUGGUGGCAAGAUUUGUGUGUUUAAGGUUGUUGUGGUGAUGGGUUGAUUCUGUCAGGUAGGUUGUUGUUGUUGUUUUGUUUUUAAUAGAGGGAGUUUUAGGAAACAUGGACAUGUCUAAAAAAAUUGGGCCCAUUAUUUUGUAACAGUGCACUUAAAGAAAACCUGUCAGGUGAUUUUGUUUUGUUUUUAUGAGCUAACAAUCAGCUCUAUUUUUCAUUUCUGUUUUAAGCAGGCCUGCAACAGUGAAUAACGGCGCUGAAAAUUCUCGGGAGGAGCAAAUAUAAGGGGGCUUUCCAGAUUACAAUUGGCUGAGGAGAGCUACCUGUGGGGACUGAUCAAGGUCGUAAGUCCCUGUAAAAAGGAUUUUAUGCGAGUCAAUCCAGUCCAAAAGCAUGAAGAAAUAUUUUCCUAUGGAAAAUAAAAAUGACGGAGCUCAUUUUGCUGAGGGUGGAGAAUCUGACGCGGGAAGCUCCACCAUUAGCAAAUACAUGGUGUGACUGCAUGUGAGUGAAUGUGAGACUGUAUGUGAGUGAGGAUGAAUUAAUGUGGACAAACAAUUUGCUUUUACCAGAAAAAUUUCUGUUUUGCUUUGUUGACUGGGGUUAGAUUAUGAGAUUAUAGUAUAUUGUUGGGAGAAUGCCAAAUGCUAAAAGGGAAAUAUUUUUUGAUGUAACUCAGUUACCAUUACUUGUAGAAACACAUGACUGAUAACUGUUCUGUUUUAAGUUUAUUUUUAUGACAUAGAUUGGAUCAUGAGUGGGGAAAACUGAGCAGUUUUAAGUUUUGUAUAGUAUCUUGACACAUGAAAUGUAUCAAGAUAAAAGGGGGUUUAGGGUUUAAUAAUUUAAUUGUUUAAUAAUUUAGGAUCAUUUUAGGACCUUUUGGGUUUUUGAUCAUUUGGAUAUGGUAAAACUGAAACUGGUAUUUUUAAGUUAAGGUUAAAGGAUUAAAAGUGAACUUGUCACGGUUUGCGAGGCAAGCCGUGUGGAGUUGUAGAAAAGGACCCAAAAGGCGGCAGCUCUGGUGCAGGUGAAUAUUUAUUUACAACGGUGGGCACAAAACAGCACUG